rnacentral:lncRNA from 1 species
CCCUCAGAAAAUUUUAUUCACAAUUAGCCCCAUAAAAUUUAUAUUUAUAAGAUUAGCCUUAUUUUCAUCACUCGAGCACAACGUAAGCAUGACUGGUUAAUUUGAAUACGGUGAAUCAUUCACAGUUUAUCAUAAAAUUUUCAUAUUUUACCUAAAUCAUGUCUUUUUCAUAUUUAUCGUGUUCCAACACAGUAAAUAAUUCGACGUAUUCAAUUUAAACUCUUGGCCAUCAGUCGUACUCACGUGUCACUUGCGUGACGAGAUAAAAUCAAUCUUAUAAAUAAAUAUAAAUUUUAUGGGUCUGUUUAUGAAAAAAUAAUUUGAGGGGGACUAAAG